rnacentral:sRNA from 1 species
UUAGAAAAUGCAUUUACGAUGGUCAGGA